rnacentral:tRNA from 2 species
GCGAGAGUGGUGGAAUUGGCAGACACGCCAGACUUAGGAUCUGGUGCUUUGGCGUGAGGGUUCAAGUCCCUCCUCUCGCA